rnacentral:rRNA from 1 species
CCUACGGGGGGCAGCAGUGGGGAAUAUUGCACAAUGGGCGCAAGCCUGAUGCAGCCAUGCCGCGUGUGUGAAGAAAGCCUUCGGGUUGUAAAGCACUUUCAGCGGGGAGGAAGGCGGUGAGGUUAAUAACCUCAUCGAUUGACGUUACCCGCAGAAGAAGCCCCGGCUAACGCCGGGCCAGCAGCCGCGGUAAUACGGAGGGUGCAAGCGUUAAUCGGAAUUACUGGGCGUAAAGCGCACGCAGGCGGUCUGUCAAGUCGGAUGUGAAAUCCCCGGGCUCAACCUGGGAACUGCAUUCGAAACUGGCAGGCUAGAGUCUUGUAGAGGGGGGUAGAAUUCCAGGUGUAGCGGUGAAAUGCGUAGAGAUCUGGAGGAAUACCGGUGGCGAAGGCGGCCCCCUGGACAAAGACUGACGCUCAGGUGCGAAAGCGUGGGGAGCAAACAGGAUUAGAUACCCGGGUAGUC